UUGACCAACCACUUGUUAUCAUCCACUUAUUCUUCAGGGAGGUGUUGCAACAUAUAACUUCCUAAAAUCAUAAAAAUAGAUUAACUGAGGUUAUGGUAAUUCUUUUAUUGGAUCUCAAAAUAUUUUGUGCUAGUCCAUGAUUGUUUGACAUGCGUGGACCUUUGGUCCUUAUAAAUUCAGUUUGCGUCGUCCGUGGUGUAAUUACAGAAAAGCCUUUACCUGUUAGAAUGUCAUAUAAAUUCUGCAUUCAGCCAUCAUGGAAAUGAAAUGCUUGUCAUGGUUCUGUGUUUUCCUGUCUGUGUUUCCCUUGUUGGGCCGCCAGAUGGGAACCAGCCAGUGCUGGACCCAGCAGAGGUUUUUUUUUUUUUUUUUCCUCUCCCUUUUUCCCUUUUCUCUCCUCAGGGUUUUUUUUUGUUUGUUUUUUGUUUAUCAUGCCAUCGGGGUGGUGGGAGCUCGACCCAGUUUUCGCCCUUGAGCCUCCCAGUGCCCAGGGCGGGCGGUCAUGGAGGCGCCGUGGUCGGGCUGCCUCCCGGUCGGGGGGGCCUCCGCAGCCGCCUCGAGUCCCGGGGGGGCCUCCGGAGCCAUCCAGAGCCCCGGAGCGGCCUCCAGAGCCGUCCAGAGCCCCGGAGAGGCCGCCUGCUCCGUCUGUUGUCCCGCAGGGGCCGCCGCGGCCUGCUCUGGCCGCUAUUCCGCAGGCGAAGCCACCUGCCUUGCCCCCUAGUGUUCCCUCGCCCCCUAGUGUCCGUGCUCCCCCUAGUGUUCUCGCUCCCCCUAGUGUUCUCGCUCCCCCUAGUGUUUGUGCUCCCCCUAGUGUUCUCGCGCCCCCCAGUGUCCGUUCUUCCCCUAGUGUUCUCGCUCCCCCUAGUGUCCACGCCUUGCCCCCUAGUGUUCGUGCUCCCCCUUGUGUUUUCGCGCCCCCUAGUGUGUCCAAGCCAUCGCUGCCCCUACUCAGUGCCCCGAAACCUCGCCCUAACCAUGUUCCCCACCGUGUGUUUGCCUGUGCAUCUGCCCCCUUGUUUAGUUGUCUGCCCACCUGCCUGUCUGCCUGUUUGCCCGCAUGUGUGUCAGCCAGUUUGUUGGCCCGUCUGUCUGACCCCCAGGCCGUUGGCCCGUCGGCCAAUCUGUUCUCCCGCCUGUCUGCCUGUCUAUCGGUGUGUCAGUCUGCGUGUUUCUUGUCAUGUCUCCCCGUGUGUCAGGUUGUGUGUCAUAGUUCACCCCUCUCCUUCCCUCUCUGUCUGUCCCUUAGUGUGUCUAUAGGUCUUGCCGUGUGUCUCCCCGCCUGCUUGUCCCUUUGUCUGUCCUUGUAGGUCUCCCGGUGUUCCUGUCUGAGUCCUGUCCCCGUCCGAGUCCAUCCCGAGUCCUGUCCCCGUCCGAGUCCAGUCCCGAGUCCUGUUCCCCCGUCCGAGUCCAGUCCCGAGUCCUGUUCCUCCGUCCGAGUCCAGUCCCGAGUCCUGUUCCCCCGUCCGAGUCCAGUCCCGAGUCCUGUUCCCCCGUCCGAGUCCAGUCCCGAGUCCUGAGUUCCCCCUCUGUCCUGUCCCAGUCCUGAGUCCGGUCUCGUCUCAUCCCAGUCCCGAGUCCUGUAUCCAGCUCCCUCCCUCUGUUCACUCCCUCCCCGGGUCGGCCUCCUGGGACGUCAGGAGCCAUCCCUUGGGGGGGGGGUACUGUCAUGGUUCUGUGUUUUCCUGUCUGUGUUUCCCUUGUUGGGCCGCCAGAUGGCGGCACUUCUGUUUUGUGUCCUGCUCCCCCCUGUUAAUUGUAUUAUUGUUGUCUCGUUAUUCUAUCAUUGUUCCCACCUGUGUCUUGUUAUCCCCUCCUUUUCUGGUUUGAUUGUUUUUUGAGUUCACCUGUGUCUUGUUACCCCCUGUCUAUUUAAGUUCUUUGUCCCCUAGACUCGGGUGCUGGUUCCUUGUGUUUGUUUCCUACUUGUCUUUGUUCUGACCAUAUGUACCUGCCCUUGUACUCUGCCUGCCUGUGUUCUACCCUGCCCGUGUUUUUGAGUUCCUCUUGUUUUCUGUUUUAUUAGAUAUUUUUUGAGUUUGUGUUUUUGCCCAUCGUGGCCUUUUCUGUUCCCUGCUUGUUUGCCUUUUUUGUUAGUAAAGUCUUUUGUUCUCCUCC